UACGUAGGGUGCAAGCGUUAAUCGGAAUUACUGGGCGUAAAGCGUACGCAGGCGGCUAUGUAAGACAGGUGUGAAAUCCCCGGGCCUAACCUGGGAACUGCAUUUGUGACUGCAUAGCUAGAGUCCGUCAGAGGGGGGUGGAAUUCCACGUGUAGCAGUGAAAUGCGUAGGGAUGUGGAGGAACACCGAUGGCGAAGGCAGCCCCCUGGGAUGAGACUGACGCUCAUGUACGAAAGCGUGGGGAGCAAACAGG
rnacentral:rRNA from 1 species